UUAAGUUCAGAGAAGCUACCGUCAAGAAGGCAUGAAGGGCACGAAGGGUAAGAAAGCGUUGCCGGCGUGGGCGCUCGGCGGCUCAGCCCGCACUGACCUGGCCAUGGAGGCUGACCUGACACGGAGAUGAUCCACGGGAGCGAACAGCUGCGUCACACAGAGAAGCCAAGUUCAGGAACAUCAGGCUCCCCGCUGUGUUCACUGCGCUAAGACAGCCCCAGAGGGGUCCUGCCUCUUCUGCCCAG